AAAACUUAAAAAUAAGGGAUAUGGAGAUAUUUUUUAUGGUCUCAUUAUAUACAAUCCCUUAAAAAAUUAAGUCCUAAAUCAUCCUCAAAAAUAGAUUGUGAAGAGCCAGCGCAUUAUCUACCGAUGUGUCCUAGGACUCAUAAAAUGCCCUUCAAGUAAGUUUGCAUUUCCUGUUGACUGUUAUGUUACACUCAAAUUUGGCAGGACGCUAAACAAUAACAACAUAACUGGGAGCAUUCCUGCGGAGUUUGGCAAACUGAAAAGCCUUGUGAGCCUGGAUCUCCAACAAAACAGAUUGAAUGGCCCCAUUCCUCAGUCUCUUGCCAACUUAACAUCUCUCAAGUAUUUACGGUUGAACAAUAAUAAACUAUCAGGUGUAAUUCCGAAAGCCAUCGUAGAUUUGGCGAUUGUUGGAAAACUCCGGCUAUUGAAUGUCACAAACAAUUUAUUGGCGGGCACGAAUAAAAACUAUCCAAAAAGAGCUACAAUGAUACUCCAAGAUGGAAAUGCCCCGUUUUGAUGGAUCUCCAAGAAUGUGUCAACUAUGGAAGAAUGUAACUAAUAUUCAUUACUAAGAAAUAAAUAUUGAUGCCAUGUCAAGAGAGUUAUUAUUUAUUAAUGAAUAAACUUAGUUAUUGAGAUACUC